rnacentral:rRNA from 1 species
GGGGAAUAUUGCGCAAUGGGGGAAACCCUGACGCAGCAACGCCGCGUGAAGGAUGAAGGUUUUCGGAUUGUAAACUUCUUUGAUGAGGGACGAAACAAAUGACGGUACCUCAAAAACAAGCCACGGCUAACUACGUGCCAGCAGCCGCGGUAAUACGUAGGUGGCGAGCGUUGUCCGGAAUUACUGGGUGUAAAGGGCGUGUAGGCGGGGAGACAAGUCAGAUGUGAAAUACCGAGGCUUAACUUCGGGGCUGCAUCUGAAACUGUUUUUCUUGAGUGUCGGAGAGGAAAGUGGAAUUCCCAGUGUAGCGGUGAAAUGCGUAGAUAUUGGGAGGAACACCAGUGGCGAAGGCGACUUUCUGGACGACAACUGACGCUGAGGCGCGAAAGCGUGGGGAGCAAAC